GCUAGUAAUCGUAGGUCAGCAUACUACGGUGAAUACGUUCCCGGGCCUUGUACACACCCGCCCGUCAAACCAUGAGAGUUGGCAACACCCGAAGUCGGUAGUCUAACCGCAAGGAGGACGCCGCCGAAGGUGGGGUUGAUGAUUAGGGUUAAGUCGUAACAAGGUAAC
rnacentral:rRNA from 1 species